rnacentral:rRNA from 1 species
GACGAACGCUGGCGGCGUGCUUAACACAUGCAAGUCGAACGGAAAGGCCCUGCUUUUGUGGGGUGCUCGAGUGGCGAACGGGUGAGUAACACGUGAGUAACCUGCCCUUCACCUUGGGAUAACUUCAGGAAACUGGGGCUAAUACCGGAGAGGAGCUCCUGCUGCAUGGUGGGGGUUGGAUAGUUUCGGGGGUUGGGGAUGGACUCGCGGCUUAUCAGCUUGUUGGUGGGGUAGUGGCUUACCAAGGCGUUGACGGGUAGCCGGCCUGGGAGGGGGACCGGCCACAUGGGGACUGAGAUACGGCCCAGACUCGUACGGGAGGCAGCAGUGGGGAAUAUUGCACGAUGGACGGAAGCCUGGUGCGGGAACGCCGCGUGCGGGAUGACGGCCUUCGGGUUGUGAACCGCUGUCGCCUGUGACGAGGCGUGAGUGACGGUAAUGGGUAAAGAAGCACCGGCUAACUACGUG